rnacentral:rRNA from 1 species
AUUGAACGCUGGCGGCAUGCCUAACACAUGCAAGUCGAGCGGAUGAAGGGAGCUUGCUCCUGGAUUCAGCGGCGGACGGGUGAGUAAUGCCUAGGAAUCUGCCUGGUAGUGGGGGAUAACGUCCGGAAACGGGCGCUAAUACCGCAUACGUCCUGAGGGAGAAAGUGGGGGAUCUUCGGACCUCACGCUAUCAGAUGAGCCUAGGGCGGAUUAGCUAGUUGGUGGGGUAAAGGCCUACCAAGGCGACGAUCCGUAAAUGGACUGAGAGGAUGAUCAGUCACACUGGAAGUGGGACACGGUCCAGACUCCUACGGGAGGCAGCAGUGGGGAAUGUUGGGCAGUGGGGGAAAACAUGGUACAACCGUGGCGCGUGUGUGAAGAAGGUCUUCGGAUUGUAAAGCCCUUUAAGUUGGGAGGAAGGGCAGUAAGUUAAUACCUUGCUGUUUUGACGGUACCGACAGAAUAAGCACCGGCUAACUUCGUG